rnacentral:rRNA from 1 species
UACAGAGGGUGCAAGCGUUAAUCGGAAUUACUGGGAGUAAAGCGCGCGUAGGCCGUCGAGUAAGUCGGAUGUGAAAUCCCCGGGCUUAACCUGGGAAUUGCAUUCGAUACUGCUUGGCUAGAGUGUGGAAGAGGGAAGCGGAAUUUCCGGUGUAGCGGUGAAAUGCGUAGAGAUCGGAAGGAACACCAGUGGCGAAGGCGGCUUCCUGGUCCAACACUGACGAUGAGGCGCGAAAGAGUGGGGAGCAAACAGG